UACGGGGGGGGCAAGCGUUGUUCGGAAUUACUGGGCGUAAAGGGCUCGUAGGCGGCCAACUAAGUCGGACGUGAAAUCCCCAGGCUCAACCUGGGAACUGCGUCUGAUACUGGAUGGCUUGAAUCCGGGAGAGGGAUGCAGAAUUCCAGGUGUAGCGGUGAAAUGCGUAGAUAUCUGGAGGAAUACCAGUGGCGAAGGCGACUCUUUGGCCUGUAACUGACACUGAGGCGCGAAAGCGUGGGGAGCAAACAGG
rnacentral:rRNA from 1 species